UACGUAGGGUGCGAGCGUUAAUCGGAAUUACUGGGCGUAAAGAGCGCGCAGGCGGUCGAUCAAGUCGCGUGUGAAAGCCCCCGGCUCAACUGGGGAGGGUCACGCGAUACUGACCGACUCGAAGGCAGGAGAGGGUAGUGGAAUUCCCGGUGUAGUGGUGAAAUGCGUAGAUAUCGGGAGGAACACCAGUGGCGAAGGCGACUACCUGGCCUGUUCUUGACGCUGAGGCGCGAAAGCUAGGGGAGCAAACGGG
rnacentral:rRNA from 1 species